GACGAACGCUGGCGGCGUGCUUAACACAUGCAAGUCGAACGGAAAGGCCCUGCUUUUGUGGGGUGCUCGAGUGGCGAACGGGUGAGUAACACGUGAGUAACCUGCCCUUGACUUUGGGAUAACUUCAGGAAACUGGGGCUAAUACCGGAUAGGAGCUCCUGCUGCAUGGUGGGGGUUGGAAAGUUUCGGCGGUUGGGGAUGGACUCGCGGCUUAUCAGCUUGUUGGUGGGGUAGUGGCUUACCAAGGCUUUGACGGGUAGCCGGCCUGAGAGGGUGACCGGCCACAUUGGGACUGAGAUACGGCCCAGACUCCUACGGGAGGCAGCAGUGGGGAAUAUUGCACAAUGGGCGGAAGCCUGAUGCAGCAACGCCGCGUGCGGGAUGACGGCCUUCGGGUCGUAAACCGCUUUCGCCUGUGACGAAGCGUGAGUGACGGUAAUGGGGAAAGAAGCACCGGCUAACUACGU
rnacentral:rRNA from 1 species